rnacentral:rRNA from 1 species
UACGUAGGGUGCAGGCGUUAAUCGGAAUUACUGGGCGUAAAGCGUGCGCAGGCGGUUUGUUAAGACAGGUGUGAAAUCCCCGGGCUUAACCUGGGAAUUGCGCUUGUUACUGGCAGACUUGAGUGUGGCAGAGGGGGGUGGAAUUCCAGGUGUAGCAGUGAAAUGCGUAGAUAUUUGGAGGAACACCGAUGGCGAAGGCAGCUCCCUGGGUUAACACUGACGCUCAUGCGCGAAAGCGUGGGGAGCAAACAGG